rnacentral:lncRNA from 1 species
UCACCAUAAGUCAGUUACAGUUGAUAAAGAAAUGUGGCCUGUGUAUGUGGAACUGACGAACGGCAGCAUAUACGGCUGUGAUUUCCUUGUCAGCGCUACAGGAGUCACCCCAAAUGUGCAGCCGUUUCUCCAUGGAAACGAUGUAAGGUGAAUUCUGUCCACUCACCUGUCUUACAGUCCUGAUCUUUACAGUGUCUAGGUUUUAAACAGCCAUCAUUGUAGUAGUAACUGUAACUGAAUUUAGCAGCAACACCCCACUCACAGUGUUCUCUUCUACUUCGCAUCCUUAAGCAGUUAACAUCCAGCUUAAGAUCAUCUAGAGCCAGUGUCCAGUUUAUCAAGG